rnacentral:rRNA from 1 species
GACGAACGCUGGCGGCGUGCUUAACACAUGCAAGUCGAACGGAAAGGCCCUGCUUUUGUGGGGUGCUCGAGUGGCGAACGGGUGAGUAACACGUGAGUAACCUGCCCUUGACUUUGGGAUAACUUCAGGAAACUGGGGCUAAUACCGGAUAGGAGCUCCUGCUGCAUGUUGGGGGUUGGAAAGUUUCGGCGGUGGGGGAUGGACUCGCGGCUUAUCAGCUUGUUGGUGGGGUAGUGGCUUACCAAGGCUUUGACGGGUAGCCGGCCUGAGAGGGUGACCGGCGACAUUGGGACUGAGAUACGGCCCAGACUCCUACGGGAGGCAGCAGUGGGGAAUAUUGCACAAUGGGCGGAAGCCUGAUGCAGCAACGCCGCGUGCGGGAUGACGGCCUUCGGGUUGUAAACCGCUUUCGCCUGUGACGAAGCGUGAGUGACGGUAAUGGGUAAAGAAGCACCGGCUAACUACGUG